UAUAUAUAUAUAUAUAUAUAUAUAUAUAUAUAUAUAUAUUGUAUUGUGAUUGUAUGAUGUAUUGAAGUAAUUAUUUCCCAUUUAGAAAAAAAAUAGUUAAUAAUCAAGAGAGGUCUGGUUUCGUAACAAAGAUUUACCAAAUUCAUCAACGUAAUAUUUCUGCUUUACAUCUGACUACAAUGAUUAUUUUUAUUGGCAUUUAGCACCAACAAUGGCAAAAAAUUGGCCUUACGUAAAUCAUUCAUUUAGAGAAACAACUUUAAGGUUUUUUAUAGAUUAUUGCUUUGCUAAAUAAUAAAAUCUUACCCAAACACUUAUAUUAUUGUUUAUAUAUUUAUAUAUUAUGGUAUAUUUAUUUUUAUUUUAAAUUUCUAGUUGACUCGAUAU